rnacentral:misc_RNA from 1 species
GAUGAAGAACGCAGGCGAAAUGCGAUAAGUAAUGUGAAUUGCAGAAUUCAGUGAAUCAUCGAAUCUUUGAACGCACAUUGCGCCCCUUGGUAUUCCGAGGGGCAUGCCUGUUCGAGCGUCAUUAUAACCCCUCAAGCUCAGCUUGGUGUUGGGGCCUGCUGCACUGGCAGCCCUUAAAAUCAGUGGCGGCGCCAUCUGGCUCUAAGCGUAGUAAUUCUUCUCGCUAUGGAGUCCUGGUGGAUGCUUGCCAUCAACCCCCAAUUUUUCUAUGGUUGACCUCGGAUCAGGUAGGGAUACCCGCUGAACUUAAGCAUAUCAAUAAGCGGAGGA